GAAUAUUGGACAAUGGGCGAAAGCCUGAUCCAGCCCUGCCGCGUGUGUGAAGAAGGUCUUCGGAUUGUAAAGCACUUUAAGUUGGGAGGAAGGGCAGUAAGCGAAUACCUUGCUGUUUUUACGUUACCGACCGAAUAAGCACCGGCUAUCUCUGUCCCACCACCCGCGGUAAUACAUCGGGUGCACGCGUUAAUCGGAAUUACUGGGCGUAAAGCGCGGGUAGGUGGUUAGUUAAGUUGGAUGUGAAAUCCCCGGGCUCAACCUGGGAACUGCAUCCAAAACUGGCGAGCUAGAGUAGGGCAGAGGGUGGUGGAAUUUCCUGUGUAGCGGUGAAAUGCGUAGAUAUAGGAAGGAACACCAGUGGCGAAGGCGACCACCUGGGCUCAUACUGACACUGAGGUGCGAAAGCGUGGGGAGCAAACAG
rnacentral:rRNA from 1 species